rnacentral:lncRNA from 1 species
CGCCAUUAGAGGGCCGCUCCUCAACAAGAUGGAAGAGGAUGCCCCAGUCACUGCCACCGAGACUGGGUAGAUCACCCGGAAUUAUAAAGAGAAAUGCAAGCUGCAGAAAAAUGUCAGUACACUGCCAUUUGUGUGGGUGAGGAAGAAAGAAUAGUACUGAAUAUAAAUGAAGCUUCCGAAGGGCUUGGACUCAGUACAGAUUAAGCAUGUUCAAAAUACUCAGGGAAACCAGCUGCCAUGUUGUGAAUUGCGCUAUGGAAAGACCCAUGUGGCACAGAACCGAGGUCUCUGGCCAGCAGCCCUCAAGGAAUCCUGCCAACAGCCAUGAGAGUAAGCUUGGAAGAGGAUCUUCCCUCAGUAGACCCUUGAGAAAAGGCCACAGACCUGGCUAACUCCUAGAUAGCAGCCUGUAAGAGAACCUGAGCUAGAAGCACUCAGCUAAGCCAUGUCUGGAUUCUUGACCUGCAGAAACUGUGAGAUAAUAAAUGUUCCUUAUUUUAAGCCACUAAGUUUUGAAGUAAUUUGUAAUACAGCAAUGGAAAACUCAUACAGUAACCAAUCAAAAAUGCCUUUCAGAAUCCUACAUUUUUUUGAAAAAUCUUUUCCUUCUUGCCCUAUAUAUGUCCUUCACGCUACAAGUCACUUUUUGGCCUUUAUUGUUCUUUAAAAGUCUACUAUUUUUCAGGCAAUAUGCUGGUCUAGAGAAUCAUUAUCACGAUUCCCA